rnacentral:rRNA from 1 species
UACGAAGGGGGCUAGCGUUGCUCGGAAUCACUGGGCGUAAAGGGUGCGUAGGCGGGUCUUUAAGUCAGGGGUGAAAUCCUGGAGCUCAACUCCAGAACUGCCUUUGAUACUGAAGAUCUUGAGUUCGGGAGAGGUGAGUGGAACUGCGAGUGUAGAGGUGAAAUUCGUAGAUAUUCGCAAGAACACCAGUGGCGAAGGCGGCUCACCUGGCCCGAUACUGACGCUGAGGCACGAAAGCGUGGGAGCAACAGGGA